rnacentral:rRNA from 1 species
GAUGAACGCUGGCGGCGUGCCUAAUACAUGCAGGUCGAGCGAACAGACGAGGAGCCUGCUCCUUCGACGUUAGCGGCGGACGGGUGAGUAACACGUAGGUAACCUACCUAUAAGACUGGGAUAACUUCGGGAAACCGGAGCUAAUACCGGAUAAUAUUUCGAACCGCAUGGUUCGAUAGUGAAAGAUGGCUUUGCUAUCACUUAUAGAUGGACCUGCGCCGUAUUAGCUAGUUGGUAAGGUAACGGCUUACCAAGGCAACGAUACGUAGCCGACCUGAGAGGGUGAUCGGCCACACUGGAACUGAGACACGGUCCAGACUCCUAAGGGAGGCAGCAGUAGGGAAUCUUCCGCAAUGGGCGAAAGCCUGACGGAGCAACGCCGCGUGAGUGAUGAAGGUCUUCGGAUCGUAAAACUCUGUUAUUAGGGAAGAACAAACGUGUAAGUAACUGUGCACGUCUUGACGGUACCUAAUCAGAAAGCCACGGCUAACUACGUG